UACGUAGGUGACAAGCGUUGUCCGGAUUUACUGGGCGUAAAGAGCGCGCAGGCGGUCGUUCAAGUCGAGUGUGAAAGCCCCCGGCUCAACUGGGGAGGGUCAUUCGAUACUGAUCGACUCGAAGGCAGGAGAGGGUAGUGGAAUUCCCGGUGUAGUGGUGAAAUGCGUAGAUAUCAAGUGGAACACCAGUGGCGAAGGCGAGUCCCUGGACGAUUUCUGACACUGAGGCACGAAAGCUAGGGGAGCAAACAGG
rnacentral:rRNA from 1 species